CAGCAGCCACGGUAAAACAGAGGGUGCGAGCGUUAAUCGGAUUUACUGGGCGUAAAGCGUGCGUAGGCGGCUUCUUAAGUCGGAUGUGAAAUCCCUGAGCUUAACUUAGGAAUUGCAUUCGAUACUGGGAAGCUAGAGUAUGGGAGAGGAUGGUAGAAUUCCAGGUGUAGCGGUGAAAUGCGUAGAGAUCUGGAGGAAUACCGAUGGCGAAGGCAGCCAUCUGGCCUAAUACUGACGCUGAGGUACGAAAGCAUGGGGAGCAAACAGGAUUAGAUACCCCGUAGUCCCUGUCUCUUAUACA
rnacentral:rRNA from 1 species